CCUACGGGUGGCUGCAGUGAGGAAUAUUGGUCAAUGGGCGGGAGCCUGAACCAGCCAAGUCGCGUGAGGGACGACGGUCCUAUGGAUUGUAAACCUCUUUUGUCGGGGAACAAAGGCGCCCACGGGUGGGCGGAUGAGUGUACCCGACGAACAAGCAUCGGCUAACUCCGUGCCAGCAGCCGCGGUAAUACGGGGGAGGCGAGCGUUAUCCGGAUUUAUUGGGUUAAAAGGGUGCGAAGGUGGACAGUCAAGUCAGUGGUAAAAAUGCGGUUUCAAACGCCGUACAGCCGUUGAAACUGGCAGUCUUGAGUGGGGGAGAAGUAGGCGGAAUGCGUGGUGUAGCGGUGAAAUGCGUAGAUAUCACGCAGAACACCGGUUGCGAAGGCAGCAUACCGGAGCCCGACUGACGCUGAGGCACGAAAGCGUGGGUAGCGAACAGGAUUAGAUACCCUUGUAGUC
rnacentral:rRNA from 1 species